UACGGGGGGUGUAAGCGUUGUUCGGAAUUACUGGGCGUAAAGGGCGUGCAGGCGGCCACUGCAAGUUGGAUGUGAAAUCCCUGGGCUUAACCCAGGACGUGCGUCCAAAACUACAAAACUUAAAUACAAAAAAGAAUCGUGGAAUUCCUGGUGUAGAGGUGAAAUUCGUAGAUAUCAGGAGGAACACUCGUGGCGAAGGCGACGGCCUGGACCGAUAUUGACGCUGAGACGCGAAAGCGUGGGUAGCAAA
rnacentral:rRNA from 1 species